rnacentral:rRNA from 1 species
AAAGAUUUAUCGGUUUAUGGAUGGGGAUGCGUCUGAUUAGAUUGUUGGCGGGGGCAACGGCCCACAAAGUCUACGAUCAGUAGGGGUUCUGAGAGGAAGGUCCCCCACAUUGGAACUGAGACACGGUCCAAACUCUUACGGGAGGCAGCAGUGAGGAAUAUUGGUCAAUGGGCGAGAGCCUGAACCAGCCAAGUAGCGUGCAGGAUGACGGCCCUAUGGGUUGUAAACUGCUUUUGUAUGGGGAUAAAGUGCUCCACGUGUGGAGUUUUGUAGGUACCAUACGAAUAAGGACCGGCUAAUUCCGUGCCAGCAGCCGCGGUAAUACGGAAGGUCCGGGCGUUAUCCGGAUUUAUUGGGUUUAAAGGGAGCGUAGGCCGUGGAUUAAGUGUGUUGUGAAAUGUAGGCGCUCAACGUCUGACUUGCAGCGCAUACUGGUCCACUUGAGUGCGCGCAACGCGGGCGGAAUUUGUCGUGUAGCGGUGAAAUGCUUAGAUAUGACGAAGAACCCCGAUUGCGAAGGCAGCUCGCGGGAGCGCAACUGACGCUGAAGCUCGAAAGUGCGGGUAUCGAACAGGAUUAGAUACCCUGGUAGUCCGCACGGUAAACGAUGGAUGCCCGCUUUUCGGUCAUUAGACCGUGAGGCCAAGGAAAA